rnacentral:piRNA from 1 species
UGACAUGAUGAUUUGGGUAAAUGGUCUAUC